AUGGAUUCAUUGAAAAGCUGUCUGCUAAGACCACCCCAAAUAUCACAGAAUCAGUUCAGCGGUUUCCAGCACAUUAAUACUGAACAGCAAAACACCAUGAGUCAAAUAAAUCAAACUUUAAAGGGACAGUUCACCCAAAAAUUAAUUGGCCUCAUGCUGUUCCAGACCUGUUUGACUUACUUUCUUUUGGAAUACCACAGGAGAUUUUCUUUCUUUCUUUCUUUCUUUCUUUCUUUCUUUCUUUUUUUUUUUUGAAUAUUAAAAGCUUUGUCACACUAAGAUAUUUUUUCUUUUGAUAAACUUUCACUGGUUCUUUGGGGAUGCAAAUAUGGUUCUUCUGUGACAUCGCUGAGAAAACCCCUUUUUCGCACCUUUAGUUUUAAGAGCUGUCAAGCUCAAAAAAAAAAAAGCUAAAAUAGCCCAUAUGACUUUUUCAUGUACUAUAUGCUGUCUCCUAAAAGCAUACAAUAGCUUUGUGUGUUAAACAAGCCAACAUUUAAAUUAUUUGUUGAUGAAUAUCUUAUACCCAUUCAUCUUUUAAAAAAUGGCAAUACAAAAAAAUGACAACUCAUACAAAGUUAUCAUAUGACUUUAUUAAGUCAUUUGGGCUACUUUAAUGGUGUUUAUUUUUUAUUUUUUUUGAACUUAGACAUCAAACAUUCUACUAAAAAUGUUCUUUUCUUGUUCCAUGGAACAAUUUUUGAGUGAUCUAUACCGUUACCUUUUUUUUUUUUUUUUUUUUUGUGGAAACUAAUGACUGGUGGAUAAUGAAGACCUCAACCAAUCACUAUUUAUAUCCAAUUUACAAAUACAAAAACAGCCCUAUGUGGAUCGGUGGAGGUUUUCAUCGUCCUCUGGCUCUUGUCUGACAACAUCAGUCAGUUUAACCCUCUUACUGUUCUAAAUGACUCCUGAACCAUCUGGCCCCUGUGCGGUUGCCACGGCACCAGGCUCCAGGGGGCCCGAUAGCACAUGCUGUGUGCUUCGUAUGGUAAAACUCCUUCCCCGUGUCACACUUCCUUCUUUAUAGCAGAGAACAUAUCAGCUAUAAGACAAAAAAUACUGCAAUAAUGAAAAUGAAACCCAAAUCGAACUGAACUAAAAACAAGCCAUUCAACUUCAAAAACAAAGAGAGCAAAUCAUAAUUUGUGCUUUAACGACUUAAUUUGUAACGACUGAAAUUCUUAUAGUCUGUUUAAAAAAUAAAAGACAUGCAUGUGUUUUUCA
ensembl:lncRNA